GAAGCUUCAUCUUUGGAGCCAUUUGCAUAGGUAGGACUAGCACGGAACUUAGGAGAGCAAAUGUGAGGGAGAAAUGAAGGGUUUUUAGUGGAAAGAUAAGGAUUUUGGACAAGUGAAUCUCGAUUUGGAGAAAAUGGAUAGAAUCUAGGGUAAGCUCGAAUCAUUCCAAAUGAAGGAGGAGAAGGGGAGGAACUUGGUUCCAAGAGGGCGAUUUAGAGGGUGAGAGAUGGUG
rnacentral:lncRNA from 1 species